GAACGCUGGCGGCAUGCCUAAUACAUGCAAGUCGAACGAACCAUCCUGAUGAUUGAAGCUUGCUUCAUGAUUCAGAUCUUGGUGAGUGGCGGACGGGUGAGUAACACGUGGGUAACCUGCCCAGAAGUGGGGGAUAACAUUUGGAAACAAGUGCUAAUACCGCAUAACAACUUAGAUCACAUGAUCUUUGUUUAAAAGAUGGUUUUGCUAUCUCUUCUGGAUGGACCCGCGGCGUAUUAGCUAGUUGGUGAGGUAAUAGCUCACCAAGGCGAUGAUACGUAGCCGACCUGAGAGGGUAAUCGGCCACAUUGGGACUGAGACACGGCCCAAACUCCUACGGGAGGCAGCAGUAGGGAAUCUUCCACAAUGGACGAAAGUCUGAUGGAGCAAUGCCGCGUGAGUGAAGAAGGUUUUCGGAUCGUAAAACUCUGUUGUUGAAGAAGAAUAUAUGUGAGAGUAACUGUUCACGUACUGACGGUAUUCAACCAGAAAGCCACGGCUAACUACGUGCCAGCAGCCGCGGUAAUACGUAGGUGGCAAGCGUUGUCCGGAUUUAUUGGGCGUAAAGAGAAUGUAGGCGGUUUAUUAAGUUUGAAGUGAAAGCCCUCGGCUCAACCGAGGAAGUGCUUCGAAAACUGGUAAACUUGAGUGCAGAAGAGGAAAGUGGAACUCCAUGUGUAGCGGUGGAAUGCGUAGAUAUAUGGAAGAACACCAGUGGCGAAGGCGGCUUUCUGGUCUGUAACUGACGCUGAGAUUCGAAAGCAUGGGUAGCAAACAGGAUUAGAUACCCUGGUAGUCCAUGCCGUAAACGAUGAGUGCUAAGUGUUGGAGGGUUUCCGCCCUUCAGUGCUGCAGCUAACGCAUUAAGCACUCCGCCUGGGGAGUACGAUCGCAAGAUUGAAACUCAAAGGAAUUGACGGGGGCCCGCACAAGCGGUGGAGCAUGUGGUUUAAUUCGAAGCAACGCGAAGAACCUUACCAGGUCUUGACAUACCAUGAAAAGCUUAGAGAUAAGUCUUUCCCUUCGGGGACAUGGAUACAGGUGGUGCAUGGUUGUCGUCAGCUCGUGUCGUGAGAUGUUGGGUUAAGUCCCGCAACGAGCGCAACCCUUAUUAUCAGUUGCCAGCAUUCAGUUGGGCACUCUGGUGAGACUGCCGGUGAUAAACCGGAGGAAGGUGGGGACGACGUCAAAUCAUCAUGCCCCUUAUGACCUGGGCUACACACGUGCUACAAUGGUCGGUACAACGUGCUGCGAACUCGCGAGGGCAAGCAAAUCACUUAAAACCGAUCUCAGUUCGGAUUGUAGGCUGCAACUCGCCUACAUGAAGCUGGAAUCGCUAGUAAUCGCGGAUCAGCAUGCCGCGGUGAAUACGUUCCCGGGCCUUGUACACACCGCCCGUCACACCAUGAGAGUUUGUAACACCCAAAGUCGGUGGGGUAACCCUUCGGGGAACUAGCCGCCUAAGGUGGGACAAAUGAUUAGGGGUG
rnacentral:rRNA from 2 species